GUGACUGGACCUCAGAUGCUGUCUGCUGACCCUUCUCUAUGCUUCUCAGGCCUACUCUCCCCGCCUCUGCCUUCCGCCGCUCUCCCCGGGGCCUGUCUCGGCCCUCUCCCCAGGCCAGGAAGCCUCAGUGGUCGCCUUGCCUUGCCCGGGCCGGGCACUGUUCCUCGGGCCGCUGGCUUCUCAGCCCGCAGCAGCUGCAGAGGCCUGGAGGCCAGAGGGCACCUGGGGCCAUCUCUCUGGAGGGACAUUGGCCGGUAUGCGCUCAGCCAGCCCUGUGGCUUCCAGGAACUUCAGCCCCAGCUUGGCCUGUGCUCUUGAAAGUCAAGAGAGAAGAGACGUGUGUGGUUGAGUCUCUGUACAUGGCCUAUUGAGAAACUGGAAGAGACAUUAACAUCUUGAGGAAUAAGGAAUGAAUGUUUGAGCUCACUCUAUGCCAGGGACUAAGCAAGAAGAGGAGGAUCCAAGAAUGAAUAAAGGCCAGCCCCCACUUCCAUGGAGUCAGUAUCCUAGCUGGAGAGGAAGCAGACACACACCUGUGCAGGAACAAAGAUAAGAAUGACAGCAGACUUCUCAACACAGCUGAGUGUCAAAGAUAAUGGAGUGACAUCUUUAGAGUAUUGGAAUGAAAACAAAGAAGAACUUAGGAUUCAAUACCCCCCAACAUUUUUUCCAACAACUAAGGAGUGGGGUAAUGCAAUGGUAGCUUAAGCUGAAUUUCCUGGGACACAUAUGGCAAACAGGGUCAUUUCCAUGGGUCAUCCAGCUCCAGGGUGAACUCCAUGCUCUUAUUUUUUUUUUUUAAUUAAGGCUUAGUUUUGUAACACACGCAUGCGCGCACCCACACACGUGCGAAACAACAAAAAAGU